GUAAUACUCCCUCCAUCCAGAAAUAUUCAUCGGAGGAAUGGAUGUAUCUAGAUGUAUUUUAGUUCUAUAUAUAUUCAUUUUUAUGCAUUUCUCUGACAAGUAUUUCCGGACGGGAGUAUAUA
rnacentral:pre_miRNA from 1 species